rnacentral:rRNA from 1 species
GCUUGUCUCAAAGAUUAAGCCAUGCACGUCUGAGAAUAAAGAGUUUUCUCUGAAUCUGCGAAUGGCUCAUUAUAUCAGUUAUAGUUUAUUUGAUAGUCCUUUACUACUUGGAUAACCGUAGUAAUUCUAGAGCUAAUACAUGCACAAAUUCCCGUCAGGGAUGUAUUUAUUAGAUUGAAACCAAUGCGGGGUAACCCGGUGUUUGGUGAUUCAUAAUAACUUUCGGAUCGCAUUUGCGAUGCAUCAUUCAAGUUUCUGCCCUAUCAGCUUUGGAUGGUAGGGUAUUGGCCUACCAUGGCAUUAACGGGUAACGGAGGAUUUGGGUUCGAUUCCGGAGAGGGAGCCUGAGAAAUGGCUACCACAUCCAAGGAAGGCAGCAGG